AAAGGAAUAGACGGGGGCCCGCACAAGCGGAGGAACAUGUGGUUUAAUUCGAUGAUACGCGAGGAACCUUACCCGGGCUUGAACUGCGACUGACCGGCAUAGAGAUAUGCUUUCCCUUCGGGGCAGUUGUGGAGGUGCUGCAUGGUUGUCGUCAGCUCGUGCCGUGAGGUGUCGGCUUAAGUGCCAUAACGAGCGCAACCCUUGCUGUCAGUUGCCAUCACGUAAUGGUGGGCACUCUGGCGGGACUGCCAUCGCAAGAUGUGAGGAAGGUGGGGAUGACGUCAAAUCAGCACGGCCCUUACGUCCGGGGCUACACACGUGUUACAAUGGGGGGCACAGCGCGCCGCUACCUGGUGACAGGCUGCCAAUCGUGAAAUCCCCUCUCAGUUCGGACUGGAGUCUGCAACCCGACUCCACGAAGCUGGAUUCGCUAGUAAUCGCGCAUCAGCCAUGGCGCGGUGAAUACGUUCCCGGGCCUUGCACACACCGCCCGU
rnacentral:rRNA from 1 species